GGGUUAGGUUUAGGGGUUAGGGUUAGGUUUAGGGUUAGGGUUACAGGUUAGGGUUAGGGGUUAGGGUUAGGGUUGAGGUUAAUGGUUAGGGUUAGGGGUUAGGGUUACAGGUUAGGGUUAGGGGUUAGGGUUAGGGUUAAGGUUAAUGGUUAGGUUUAGGGGUUAGGGGAAAUAGGAUUUUGAAUGGAAAAUAGUUAUAGGUCCCCACAAGUAUAGAUGAACAUAAAAUAUGUGUGUGUGUGUGUGUUGUGCCUUGUCAUUUGGUGCUGUGCUACGGAGCAUAGAUAAUUACAAGAACAGCUUCAUUCCCUUCUGUCUGCUUCAUAUCUGAGCAAUCUGGGAUUGGUACCAACAUCACAUUUUGGACGUGUCAAUGAAAGAUAUCGGACUAUAGCCAUUGAUUAUUGAAGACUGUAUCUUAGAAAUGCCCCAUGACUUUAGUCCAACUGUAGUUCAACCAUCCCACAACUGUAGUUAAACCAUCCCUCAACUAUAGUUCAACCAUCCCUCAACUGUAGUUCAACCAUCCCUCAACUGUAGUUCAACCAUCCCUCAACUGUAGUUCAACCAUCCCUCAACUGUAGUUCAACCAUCCCUCAACUGUUUACCAAAAAAUGUUGGUGUUUGAACCCCAGAUUGCCCCUUUA
rnacentral:lncRNA from 1 species